ensembl:lncRNA
GGAGGCAGUGGAGAGUUGUGACCCUCUCGAGUGCUGCAAGGACUCUAUGGAGGCAUUUGGUGGACGCCGCAGGAACCCACAGCCAGAGAUGGAUGCCAAGAUGCACUCCUUCCUCUGUCUGGCAAGCUCUGCUGACCUGUGAGGUCGUUCCCACGCUUGCAGAGGUCCUACGGGCUUGGUGUUGGUUGUCGCUUGUGCUCACCUUGCUGUCACCGGGUGUUCUUCCUUUGCCCAUCAUAGGGGUCCCCCAUUCUGAUGGGAUCUCCGUGCCUUCUGCUGAUCCCAGAGAACAUGGGUUUGUUCUCUUAUAUCCAGUAACCCGAAUGUAGUCUAGUAAGGUUUGCUCAAGUGAGAUGGAAAACGAAGAGGUAGGCUCCAAAACAGGCUCGCGUAUUGGAGACUUACCCACCACAUGGUGAUGCCUUCCCUGACCUCCUUGAUUGCAGUGUGGGAUGUGCCCUGAUCCUUGGAAAGGGGUGAGUGAUUCCUGCAUCCUCACUAGAAGGUAAUCUCUACUUACCUUUUCUUGUGUUCAUAAGGUGGCACUGGAGAGUUGUGACCCUGCUGAGCAGUGCAAGGACUCUACUGAGGCUCUUGGUGGACACAGCGAGAACCCACACCCGUAAAUGGAUGCCAAUAUCUAUUCCUUCCUCUGUCUGGCAAGCUCUGUUGUCCCCUGAGGUCAUUCCAAUGCUUGCAGAGGUCCUAUGGGCUUGUUGUUGGUUUUCGCUUGUGCUCACUUGGCUUUCCAAGGGUGUUCCUCUUACUUGACACCCUUUCCCACUCUCCAUUUCCAAGCAGGAGCUCCCUUUGGCCUCCAUGUCUCGCUCUGGCCAGGCAGAUGUGGUGUGUCAAUGGAUCAAAGCCUUCAGAAUCCAACCAAAAGAAAUGGGGAGAGAGGCUGCCCUGGGUGAGACAGGAGAAGUGCCCCUUGAAGCGGGGGACGCCCCGCUGGCGCUGCCUCUCGCAUCCACCGGCAGCACGUUCCUUCUCUCUCCUUGGCACCCGACGCUUUGCCGUCUCCCAGGGCUCACCAAGUCCAAAUGUUCCCUGAUGGAGUCCAACUCCAGCUUGACCAACACUCACCCGGUCUGUCCCCGCACCAGCUGGCUUAGGGCUCCUCAGUUCUGAUGGGAUCUCAGUGCCUUCUGUCCCUCCCAAGGCUGCCCUGGGUGAGACAGGAGAAGUGCCCCUUGGAGUGGGGGACGCCCCGCUGGCACUGCCUCUCGCAUCCACCGGCAGCACGUUCCUUCUCUCUCCUUGGCACCCAACUCUUUGCUGUCUCUCAGGCUCACCAAGUCCAAAUGUUCCCUGAUGGAGUCCAACUCCAGCUUGACCAACACUCACCCCUUAGAGCUCCCCAGCAUUGCUGGCUGUUGGUGCCUUCUCUCGCUCCAAGUCAGCACGGCUCUGUUCUUUGCCUUUUGGGUUCCAGAGCGUUUGCUACAGGUUAUGGAGUGUUUCUCUUCUCUCUCUUCUUGUCCUCCAUGUUGCCCGUUGGCGCCUUGGUAGAGUUUCAGUGACCCAAAUGCAGACUGCUCUGCAUUGACCAAUUGUGAUGCCAAGAGAAGAGGAUAGGAGACUCUGCCGUCAGAUGGCGUUGCCUGUUCUUCUCUCCCCAGUUUGCAGAGCUGGAUGUGACCUCAGCACUGGAUAAGGGGUAAGUGAUUCCUUCAUCCUGACCAGAAGGUAAUCUCUACUUGCCUUGUGCUGUGUGGAGCAGGUUGCAGGGGAGAAGUGCAGUUGUCCGGGGCGCUGCAAGGACUCUAUGGAGGCAUUUGGUGGACGCCGCAGGAACCCACAGCCAGAGAUGGAUGCCAAGAUGCACUCCUUCCUCUGUCUGGCAAGCUCUGCUGACCUGUGAGGGCUCCCCAGUUCUGGUGGGAUCUCCGUGCCUUCUGCUUAUCCCAGAGAACAUGGGUUUGUUCUCUUAUAUCCAGGUUCAGUAUGUUUUCCUGUUGUUAUGUGAUGUUUGCCUUAGUUUUUUAUUUUUUAUUUUUUUUCCGGGCUGCUUAUUGAUCCAUCCUGGGUCUGCAAUAAACCAAAUGAUUUCUGGUAAGGUUUGACCAAGUGAGAUGGAAAAUCAAGUGGUAAACUCCAAAACAGGCUUGCAGUGAGUGUGUCGUAUGACUUGGGGUUUCUAGCUUGACAUCUGUUUUUCUGUGUAACCCAUGUGGUUCAGUACCUGAUUUGAAGGUUUCUUCUUUCCUUCUAGUAUUGGAGACUUACCCACCACAUGGUGAUGCCUUCCCUGACCUCCUUGAUUGCAGUGUGGGAUGUGCCCUGAUCCUUGGAAAGGGGU